CUUCCCCUGAACCGAGUGAGCAGACUUUACUGUUACAACUUUCACCAGCCUUGCUGUUCCCGUAGAUUUUCUCCAACUUUCACUCCUGGCUUUUGUGUUUAUUUUUGCUUUUUUUUCCCUGCCCUCUCCCACUGUCACUUUCCCUCCUCGCUUGUGUUUUUUUUCUUAUUUAAAUAUGUUUUCAUGAAUUUCACAUCUGUACAUGAGGGAAAUGGGGAGGAGACUGCGAAAUUUUAGUCUCACCUGUUUCGAUUUUCCACCGUGUGUUUCUGAGAGGAGACUCCUAACGCUAAAAAAGACAGAGGUGGAGGAGACUGGUGGUGGUGUAAGCUGAGGGCCAUCUUCCCUCAGUAGAGGGGAGUAUUUGAAAAGGACCUUUCUCAAGGUACCUUCGUUUUAUAUUUGAGCAGGAAUCUCGCCCACCCUUAUUGCCUGCCAUUGGUGUAUGUUGGAAGGAUUUAUGGGAUGGCUCUUUGGCCAAGUUAUGAACAUACCUUUGUUGACCAUCAAGUCUUGCACCUGGAUUCGAACCUGGAGAUUCUGACUCAGAGGCAGAGACGUGAGCAAUUACUCAAAACCACUUCUAACAAAUACACCACAAAAAGCACCCUUAAUUGAAAGGAUUUUGUCUGAUUGGCGGCUUCUUGUGUUGUACUUUGAUAUUUGCACAUGCAAGCUGACAUUAUACUGCUCUGAAGGUAUCUUAUCACAGGAGCUAUCUUUCAGAUUGAAUGAUAAAUAAACUGAAGUCUUGUCUACAUUUUCUGGCCAGCAUCUCUCCCUCAGUUAACUUUAAUGAAAACAUAUGAACUGGCCAUUUGUCUUACUUUCUUCCUUUGUUCAGCAGAAAACUUUCUUUUAUUCAUUAAUGGGAUGAGGGUGUUGCUGGCUAGGCAGCAUUUAUCACCCAUCCCUAAUUGCCCAGAGGGCAGUUAAAAAUCAACCAUAUUGCUGGGGGGUCUGGAGUCACAUGUAUGUGAGUCAUUUUCUUCACUAAAGGACAUUAGUGAACCAAAUGGGUCAUUUUGAUAAUCAACACAAUUUCAACAUCAACUUAGACUCUUGAUUACAGAUUUCUUUUAAAAACUGAAUUCAAAUUCCACCAUCUGGCGCAGCAGGAUUUGAACUCAAGUGCCCAGAUCAUUACCUGGGUCUCUGGAUCAAUAGUCACAAUAUGAUCACUGGGCCAUGCACCUCUCUUCUGCUUCGCUUGGAACAGCAAGAAUAUUUCAUUGGACAGAUAGAACAUUUGAUUAGUCUGAGAAUGUAAAAGGACCCUAUUGUGAAGGCAGGUCCAUGGUUUGAAGUGACUUGGAAUUUAAAUAAUACAUCAAUGAAAUUAAAACAAAAUAACUUGCCUCUCCCACCUCUAAAUUUUUUCCAGUUUUGAUGAGGGUUCAUGAACCUGAAACAUUAAUCCUGUUUCUCUGACCAAUACCAUUACCUGACCUGAUGAAUAUUCCCAGCAUGUUGUGUUUGUUUUUGAUUUCCAGCUUCUACCACAUUUUCCUUUUCUAACGAUAAAAUCCAUGACUAAUGUUCUGAGGAAGAAGGAAGGAAAAUACAAUAAAGAGAGACUUGAAAUUUUAUAGCACAUGUCACUCUCUCAGUUGUUCAAUGUGCUUCACAACCAAUGGAGUACUUUCUAAAAAAUAAUCAUUCACAUGUCUCAGAACAUUGCCCGGUCCCUGGAUUAAUCGUCCAGCAAUAAUACUACUAGGCUAUCGCCUCCCCUCACUUCUGAACAAUAGUUGAGAAGUGUGGAGGGUAACAAAUUAAGCAUAUUAAAGACUUUAUUUCAGAUUUUACUUCCAACUCAUGUAACUUCAAACUGUCCUUUGAAUCACAAAAGUAUAUUUCAUUUUCCCUUUAUCAUAUAGUCAGAAAUGGGAAUAUUUGCUUAUGUGUUCUGUUCAUUCAAAACAUCUCAGAUAAUGAAGUAACCCAUGCCCACAUGCAGUGCGAAUGGACAACAUCCACACUUAGACUGAGAGUUGUCCCAAUCAUUUAUGUCAUUCAAGUGCUUAUACUGUCCAUUACCAGCAAGAGAUAACCUAAGCACCUUUCGCUGACUCUUUACAGCAUUACUAUCAUAAGAUCCCCCUCUAUCAAUAUCCUGGAGCUCAGUGUUAAACAGAAUUUAUUUGGACCAGCCAUAUAAACAUUGUGCCUACAAGAACAGGCCAGAGAAUAUAUAUCCUAUGCUGAGUCACUCCAGACUCCUCGAAGCUUUUCUAUGUGAUGGAAUAGUCCCCUCUUUUCUGAAUGCGUUCAUCUCGGACAACAUUCAAGGAGUUUAACAAUGGUCAGGACAAUUAAUAGGCACCACAUCUACCACUAGUACACUAUGGCUACAGUGUGUGCCAUCUAAAAGGUACUGUAGCAACUCACUGAGGUUUUUUCAACAGUACUGCCCAUACCUGUGACCUUUACUAUGUGGCAGGCUUAUGGGAACAUAAUCACGUGAAGUUUCCCAUCCAAGUCACAUAUUAUCUUUUCAAAAACACAUCAUCAUUCCUUCAAUGUUGCUGGUUCAAAAUUCUGGAAAUCCAUUGCAGGAGCACUCUCACCACAUGUACUGCAAAUGUCCAGAGAGGUGGUACAUCACUACUUCAGAAAGAAAACUGAGAAUGUGCCAUUAACGCUAAACUUAUGCUGAAUGAAUAAGUUAUUGAAAAUCAAAUUCUGUGUACUGACUUGGGUGUGGACAGUAUGUAACGUUGUCUAGAAUCAUGGCAAUUAAACCAAAACAGAUUAACUUAAAAUAACUGAAACAAAACAAGCAUUUGUAAAGAGUUCUGUUAAAGAGCAAUUAAAUACUUUUUCCUUUCACCAAAGUUAUUUUGUAGCCUCUAUGAGUUUUAAGCUUCUUACAGCUUUCCUUCUACCUAGAUUUAAAUAAUUUAUGAUAGGUCUGUAAUAUACUAAAGCUAAUAACAAGUCUAUCAUUCAAACUGGGCACUCAAACAGUUUAAUUACCUUCACAUGAAGUUUCACGUUAUUUCAAUGGUGUCAUUGGUAAUGAAACAAAAUAGUGAAUAUUAUAGAACUUGAAUGCGUGUAUGUCAUCAGACUUAACUAUUUACUGAAUAAGUCAAACCCUAUUUGCUGGGUUUAAAUUUCAUUGUUAUAGUAAUGACAAUUUUAUCUGAGUCACAAAGACUAAUUAUGAUGCAAAAUACAACUGAAGUUUUCGACAGUCGCAUUCAUCUCUAUGCCUAUAAUUCUGUGACUAUCACAGUCUCUAUUGCCUUUAUAAUAUUUUGUACCCCUUUGGUGGAUUUGCUUAAGGUGGCAAUAAAUUUUCCAAUCUGAAAUUUUAGCUGUACAUUCCAUGGUGUGACUGAAAUAUUGCUUAAGAUAACUUUCUCUUUUUUUUAACCCAAAUCUUCCUUUUUGUCAAUUGUUUGCACAAUUAUAAACUGUUCUCCUCUCUUAAUUACCACUGUGGAAUAAGUUAGUAGUAAUUGGUUGAUGUGUACAGGCCACUGCAAAGCUAUCAGGAAUGAGACCUGAUUGGUUUCCUCUUCUGGGGCAU